AUGUCGAGAGUGUCGUCAAGCGGUCGAGGGUCGGGAAACCAGGGCUUACCCGAAGAAGGAGAAGAAGAGAAGAGGAAGAAGAGGAGAAAAAAAGAAAAGGAAAAAAAGAGGAAGAAGAAAGAAAAAGAGGAGAAGAAGAAGGAAUAG
rnacentral:rRNA from 1 species